rnacentral:rRNA from 1 species
AGUGAACGCUGGCGGUAGGCCUAACACAUGCAAGUCGAACGGCAGCACAGUAAGAGCUUGCUCUUACGGGUGGCGAGUGGCGGACGGGUGAGGAAUACAUCGGAAUCUACUUUUUCGUGGGGGAUAACGUAGGGAAACUUACGCUAAUACCGCAUACGACGUACGGGUGAAAGCAGGGGAUCUUCGGACCUUGCGCGAUUGAAUGAGCCGAUGUCGGAUUAGCUAGUUGGCGGGGUAAAGGCCCACCAAGGGGACGAUCCGUAGCUGGUCUGAGAGGAUGAUCAGCCACACUGGAGCUGAGACACGGUCCAGACUCCUACGGGACGCACCAGUGGGGAAUAUUGGACAAUGGUCGCAAGCCUGAUCCAGCCAUACCGCGUCGGUGAAGAAGGCCUUCGGUUUGUAAAGCCCUUUUGUUGGGAAAGAACAGCAGCAGGUUAAUACCCCGCUGUUCUGACGGUACCCAAAGAAUAAGCACCGGCUAACUCCGUG